rnacentral:misc_RNA from 1 species
CCGAGUUUACAACUCCCAAACCCCUGUGAACAUACCACUUGUUGCCUCGGCGGAUCAGCCCGCUCCCGGUAAAACGGGACGGCCCGCCAGAGGACCCCUAAACUCUGUUUCUAUAUGUAACUUCUGAGUAAAACUAUAAAUAAAUCAA